UGGGGAAUAUUGCGCAAUGGGCGAAAGCCUGACGCAGCAAUGCCGCGUGAGUGAGGAAGGCCUUCGGGUUGUAAAGCUCUGUCAGAUAGGAAGAAUUGCCAAGGGUCCAAUAGGCCCUUGGAGUGACGGUACUAUCAAAGGAAGCACCGGCUAACUUCGUGCCAGCAGCCGCGGUAAUACGAAGGGUGCAAGCGUUGUUCGGAUUUAUUGGGCGUAAAGCGCGCGCAGGCGGGCAGCUAAGUCAGAUGUGAAAUCUCGGGGCUCAACCCCGAAACUGCGUCUGAAACUGGUUGCCUAGAGUUUCAGAGGGGAGAGCGGAAUUUCGCAUGUAGGGGUAAAAUCCGUAGAGAUGCGAAGGAACACCAGAGCCGAAGGGGGCUCUCUGGCUGACAACUGACGCUGAGGCGCGAAAGCGUGGGGAGCAAACAGG
rnacentral:rRNA from 1 species